GAAAAAAAAAAAACAAAGCACCUUGGAUUAAGCAUUAAGCAAUUAACCACUCCUUGCAUUGUUUUUGACUGGGCAAGCACAGGCAGGGCAGGGCAGGGCAUAUUACUGGCCAAAUCCACCUUCUCUCUGGCGACCAAAUCGCUCCCUCUUUCUUCUUCUCCGAUUCUCUCUCUCUCUUCGUCGAUUUUUCUUUUGUCUUCUCUAUUCAAUCAUCUACACAAUUAGGUAAAGAUUCAAAAUCGAACCAGACCGAUCCAUUUUCCAAAGGCGCUGGAUAUGUAAAUAUUUUGGAUGAGUGUUAGUUAGCUAUUUGUAAUGGAAGAGGAGGAAGAAAAGAAAGAAUCAACCUUGGACUUGCAUUUGUCAUGGUCUCCUUUACUUUCCUCCAAACACUUUUUAAGAGCUUGGGCUUCAUCUUGAGACGUUAUCCUCUGCGUGGCAUUACCGCUGACACGAAUUUCUCCCUUCUCACUAUCCAUGGCGAAUUAGUAAUCUGAAGCGAUCAUCCAAAAUUCUAUUCAAAGAAAAUAAACAUAUUAUCUGAUCUAGUUGCCUUUACCUAAAGCCCAAAACCAAGUCAAGAAUAAGUGCAGAGAGAACUAAGCAUGAAGGAGAUUGAUGAACUUACAACCGAGAAAGAGAAUGAAGAGAAAGAGAAUGAAAGAAGAAGACAGUAGGAAAAUGCCAAUAGAGUGGUGUUGUUGACGAGCUUUGAGUAAGAAAUGAACAUUAAAAAAAAGAAAGGAAUCAAUAUCAACGAGUAAACGUCACAAGAGCAUGAUUGU
rnacentral:misc_RNA from 1 species